UAUGAAUGGCCAAACGAAGGCUUAACUGUCUCCCCCAUCAAGUCAGUGAAAUUGAUCUAUCCGUGCAGAAGCGGGUAUUAAUAUACAAGACGAGAAGACCCUUUGGAGCUUAAGGUACAAACCCACCUACGUUAAACAGCUUAUUAAACAAGCGCAAACCUAAUAUAAUAUGGUAUUUUACCUUCGGUUGGGGCGACCACGGAGAACAAAAAAUCCUCCUAGUGGACUGGGAACUUCCCUAAAACCAAGAAAGACCUUUCCAAGUCACAGAAAAUCUGACCAAACAUGAUCCGGCCAUCCCGGCCGAUCAACGAACCAAGUUACCCUAGGGAUAACAGCGCACUCCCCUCCAAGAGUCCAUAUCGACGAGAGGGUUUACGACCUCGAUGUUGGAUCAAGACAUCCUAAUGGUGCAGCCGCUAUUAAGGGUUCGUUUGUUCAACGAUUAAAGUCCUACGUGAUCUGAUUUUCAUACCGGAUCUGAGGUUCAGACCGGAAGAUCUCUUGAUG
rnacentral:rRNA from 1 species